rnacentral:rRNA from 1 species
UACAGGAGGGCGAGGCGAAUAGCCUCAGGCGCGCGAGAGAACCCUACGUGAAGGAACUCGGCAAAUUAACCCCGUAAGUUCGCGAUAAGGGGUGCCCCCCGUAAGGGGGGCCACAGGAAAACGACAGCUGCGACUGUUUACUAAAAACACAGGUCUCUGCGAAGUCGUCAAAGACGACGUAUAGGGACUGACGCUUGCCCGCUGUUGGAACGUUAAGGUGACUGGUUAGCCGCAAGGCGAGGCUGGGAACCGAAGCGCCAAUGAAGGGCGGCCGUAACUAUGACGGUCCUAAGGUAGCGAAAUUCCUUGUCGGGUAAGUUCCGACCCGCACGAAUAGCGUAACGACAGCUGUACUGUCUCCACGAGGGACUCGGCGAAAUUGUAGUUGUGGUGAAGAUGCCACAUACCCGCACCAAGACGGAAAGACCCCGUGAACCUUUACUGUAACCUAAUACUGGCUCUAGGUUCGCCAUGUGUAGCAUAGGUGGGAGACGUUAAUGUCGGGGGCGCCAGCCUCCGAAUAGUCUUCAGUGAAAUACCACUCUUGGCGAUCUUGGAGUCUAACCUGCGACCGUUAUCCGGCGUGGGAACAGUGUUAGGCGGGCAGUUUGACUGGGGCGGUCUCCUCCUAAAAGGUAACGGAGGAGUGCAAAGGUACCCUCAAUGCGGUUGGCAAUCGCAUGAAGAGCGUAAAGGUAUAAGGGUGCUUGACUGCGAGACACAUAGAUCGAGCAGGUACGAAAGUAGGUCUUAGUGAUCCGGUGGUCCCGUGUGGAAGGGCCAUCGCUCAUCAGAUAAAAGGUACUCCGGGGAUAACAGGCUGAUCACGCCCAAGAGUCCAUAUCGACGGCGUGGUUUGGCACCUCGAUGUCGGCUCAUCGCAUCCUGGGGCUGAAGGCGGUCCCAAGGGUUGGUCUGUUCGCCCAUUAAAGCGGUACGUGAGCUGGGUUUAGACCGUCGUGAGACAGGUCGGUCCCUAUCUGGUGUGGGCGCAGGAUGAUUGCGGAGACUCUUUCCUAGUACGAGAGGAUUGGAAAGAACGGACCUCUGGUGUGCCAGUUGUCGCGCUAGCGGCAUCGCUGGAUAGCUAUGUCCGGGCUGGAUAAGCGCUGAAAGCAUCUAAGUGCGAAGCCAACUCCAAGACUGGUCAUCCCAUGAGACACCUGGUAGACCACCAGGUUGAUAGGCCGGAAGUGUAAGGACAGCAAUGUUCUCAGCUAACCGGUACUAACCAGUCGAUCGGCUUGAUCC